GAUGAACGCUGGCGGCGGGCCUAAUACAUGCAAGUCGAGCGAACAGACGAGGAGCUUGCUCCUCUGACGUUAGCGGCGGACGGGUGAGUAACACGUGGAUAACCUACCUAUAAGACUGGGAUAACUUCGGGAAACCUGAGCUAAUACCGGAUAAUAUAUUGAACGGCAUGGUUGAAUAGUGAAAGACGGUUUUGGUGUCACUUAUAAGUGGAUCCGCGUCGCAUUAGCUAGUUGGUAAGGUAACGGCUUACCGAGGCGACGAUGCGUAGCCGACCUGAGAGGAUGAUACGACACACUGUAACUAAGACACGGCCCAGAAUCCUACGGGAGGAAGCAGUAGGGAAUCUUCCGCAAUGGGCGAAAGCCUGCCAGAGCCACGCCGCGUGAGUGAGGAAGGUUUUCGGAUCCUAAAUCUCUGUUAUUAGGGAAGAACAAAUGUGUAAGAAACUCUUCGCGUCCUCACGGUACCUAAUCAGAAAGCCACGGCUAACUACGUC
rnacentral:rRNA from 1 species